CAACCUACCUAUCAGAGGGGAAUAACCCGGCGAAAGUCGGACUAAUACCGCAUAAACCAGGGGCACCGCAUGGUGAUAUUUGUUAAAGAAAUUCGCUGAUAGAUGGGCAUGCGUUCCAUUAGGUAGUUGGUGAGGUAACGGCUCACCAAGCCGACGAUGGAUAGGGGAACUGAGAGGUUGGUCCCCCACACUGGUACUGAGACACGGACCAGACUCCUACGGGAGGCAGCAGUGAGGAAUAUUGGUCAAUGGGCGGGAGCCUGAACCAGCCAAGUCGCGUGAAGGAAGAAGGAUCUAUGGUUCGUAAACUUCUUUUGCAGGGGAAUAAAGUGCAGGACGUGUCCUGUUUUGUAUGUACCCUGAGAAUAAGGAUCGGCUAACUCCGUGCCAGCAGCCGCGGUAAUACGGAGGAUCCGAGCGUUAUCCGGAUUUAUUGGGUUUAAAGGGUGCGUAGGUGGUUUGAUAAGUCAGCGGUGAAAGUUUGCAGCUUAACUGUAAAAAUGCCGUUGAAACUGUCGGACUUGAGUGUAAAUGAGGUAGGUGGAAUGCGUGGUGUAGCGGUGAAAUGCAUAGAUAUCACGAAGAACUCCGAUUG
rnacentral:rRNA from 1 species